UACGGAAGGCAGCAGUGGGGAAUAUUGCACAAUGGGCGAAAGCCUGAUGCAGCUAUGCCGCGUGUAUGAAGAAGGCCUUAGGGUUGUAAAGUACUUUCAUCGGGGAGGAAAAACAAAACUAAUAAUUUUAUUUCUUGACGUUACCCGAAAAAGAAGCACCGGCUAACUCCGUGCCAGCAGCCGCGGUAAUACGGAGGGUGCUAGCGUUAAUCAGAAUUACUGGGCGUAAAGGGCACGCAGGCGGUUAAUUAAGUUGGAUGUGAAAUCCCCGGGCUUAACCUGGGAAUGGCAUUCAAGACUGGUUAGCUAGAGUCUUGUAGAGGGGGUAGAAUUCCAUGUGUAGCGGUGAAAUGCGUAGAGAUGUGGAGGAAUACCGGUGGCGAAGGCGGCCCCUGGACAAAGACUGACGCUCAUGUGCGAAAGCGUGGGGAGCAAACAGGGAUUAGAUACC
rnacentral:rRNA from 1 species